GUGAGUCAUCGAAUCUUUGAACGCACAUUGCACUGCCUGGAAUUCCGGGCAGUAUACCUGUUUGAGUAUCAGUAACACUCUACCUAGGCGUCCUUAAAACGUUGCCCUGGUAGGACUUGAGCGACCGUUUUCGCAAGAGAGCGCCGCUUUAAAUUCAUUUGAGUUGAUCCAGGCCAAAACUUGGCGACGACCGACAGAGUUAAUGGGUCUAACCGACCUUGAUCUGGAAGUCAUGUCAAGCUAUUCAACCUGUGAUGGCUCAUUAAACACCCAUACGGGAGGACGUAAGUCUUGCUCGUG
rnacentral:misc_RNA from 1 species